CAUUGAGCUCCACAGAGACAGCGCCAGGGCAAGUGAGAGCCGGACGGGCACUGGGCGACUCUGUGCCUCGCUGAGGAAAAAUAACUAAACAUGGGCAAAGGAGAUCCUAAGAAGCUGAGAGGCAAAAUGUCAUCAUAUGCAUUUUUUGUGCAAACGUCGGGAGGAGCAUAAGAAGAAGCACCCAGAUGCUUCAGUCAACUUCUCAAGAGUUUUCUAAGAAGUGCUCAGAGAGGUGGAAGACCAUUUCUGCUAAAGACAAAGGAAAAUUUCAAGAUAUGGCAAAGGUGGACAAGGCCCAUUAUGAAAGAGAAAUGAAAACCUACAUCCCUCCCAAAGGGGAGACAAAAAAGAAGUUCAAGGAUCCCAAUGCACCCAAGAGGCCUCCUUCGGCCUUCUUCCUCUUCUGCUCUGAGUAUCGCCCAAAAAUCAAAGGAGAACAUCCUGGCCUGUCCAUUGGUGAUGUUGCGAAGAAACUGGGAGAGAUGUGGAAUAACACUGCUGCAGAUGACAAGCAGCCUUAUGAAAAGAAGGCUGCGAAGCUGAAGGAAAAAUACGAAAAGGAUAUUGCUGCAUAUCGAGCUAAAGGAAAGCCUGAUGCAGCAAAAAAGGGAGUUGUCAAGGCUGAAAAAAGCAAGAAAAAGAAGGAAGAGGAGGAAGAUGAGGAAGAUGAAGAGGAUGAGGAGGAGGAGGAAGAUGAAGAAGAUGAAGAUGAAGAAGAAGAUGAUGAUGAUGAAUAAGUUGGUUCUAGCGCAGUUUUUUUUUCUUGUCUAUAAAGCAUUUAACCCCCCUGUACACAACUCACUCCUUUUAAAGAAAAAAACUGAAAUGUAAGGCUGUGUAAGAUUUGUUUUUAAACUGUACAGUGUCUUUUUUUGUAUAGUUAACACACUACCGAAUGUGUCUUUAGAUAGCCCUGUCCUGGUGGUAUUUUCAAUAGCCACUAACCUUGCUUGGUACAGUAUGGGGGUUGUAAAUUGGCAUGGAAAUUUAAAGCAGGUUCUUGUUGGUGCACAGCACAAAUUAGUUAUAUAUGGGGAUGGUAGUUUUUUCAUCUUCAGUUGUCUCUGAUGCAGCUUAUACGAAAUAAUUGUUGUUCUGUUAACUGAAUACCACUCUGUAAUUGCAAAAAAAAAAAAAAAAGUUGCAGCUGUUUUGUUGACAUUCUGAAUGCUUCUAAGUAAAUACAAUUUUUUUAUUAGUAUUGUUGUCCUUUUCAUAGGUCUGAAAUUUUUCUUCUUGAGGGGAAGCUAGUCUUUUGCUUUUGCCCAUUUUGAAUCACAUGAAUUAUUACAGUGUUUAUCCUUUCAUAUAGUUAGCUAAUAAAAAGCUUUUGUCUACCCACCCUGCAUAUCAUAAUGAGGGUAAAGUUAAGUUGAGAUAGUUUUCAUCCAUAACUGAACAUCCAAAAUCUUGAUCAGUUAAGAAAUUUCACAUAGCCCACUUACAUUUACAAACUGAAGAGUAAUCAAUCUACUCAAAGCAUGGGAUUACUAGAAUCAAACAUUUUGAAAGUCUGUCCUUGAAGGACUAAUAGAAAAGUAUGUUCUAACCUUUACAUGAGGACUCUAUUCUUUAACUCCCAUUACCAUGUAAUGGCAGUUAUAUUUUGCAGUUCCCACAUUAAAGAAGACCUGAGAAUGUAUCCCCAAAAGCGUGAGCUUAAAAUACAAGACUGCCAUAUUAAAUUUUUUGUUGACAUUAGUCUCAGUGAAGACUAUGAAAAUGCUGGCUAUAGAUGUCUUUUCCCAUUUAUCUAAAUAUGGACUGCUCAGGAAACGAGACUUUCCAUUACAAGUAUUUUUAAUUAAUUGGGCCAGCUUUUCAAACAAAGAUGCCACAUUCAAAAUAGGGUAUAUUUUCCUAUAUUACGGUUUGCCCCUUUAUAAAUCCAAGUAGAUAGGAGGAAAGAAGACACUUAAACUUUGCAUCUCAGUAUGAAUUAUUCAAUUUAUUUGAAUGAUUUUUCUUUACAAAACAAACUCAUCAUUAGUCAUGUUUAUCUGCUUAGCAGUUUAGGGAACAAUUUGGCAAUUUUGUGGUUUUCGAGAUUAUCGUUUUCUUAAAGUGCCAGUAUUUUAAAAUAGCGUUCUUAUAAUUUUACACGCUUUUGUGAUGGAGUGCUGUUUUGUUAUAUAAUUUUGACUUGGAUUCUUUCCAUUUGCAUUUGUUUAUGUAAUUUCAGGAGGAAUACUGAACAUCUGAGUCCUGGAUGAUACUAAUAAACUAAUAAUUGCAGAGGUUUAAAAA
rnacentral:lncRNA from 1 species